GGGGGCGCACUGGUUUCGACGGGGAAGUGGAAGCCAGGGCUGCAGGUCGAGGCGCCGUGGACCUCGUAAAAAGCGGCAAAAUAGUAAUUGCCAACAACGAUUACGAAUACGCUUACGCUGCCUAGGCAGCGGAUGCGCAAAUGACCUCCUGAAGGUCAGGUCAGACCGGGUGACGCCUGAUAAUCCGGAUCUGGCCACGAUUAUCAGGCUGGCAGGAGUUAAUGCCCACCGGGACUUCCUGCGAGAACUUACGGAAGGCUGGUUCCGGCGCGCCUGACCGAUGGCAAACGCCAGGGACGAGAUUUAAUGUCGGCCUAAACCUGUAGAGGCUUUGCGUGGAAUUUUCUCGGACGGGAGUUCGACUCUCCCCGCCUCCACCA
rnacentral:tmRNA from 2 species